rnacentral:rRNA from 1 species
ANUGGGCGAAGCCUGAUGCAGCGACGCCGCGUGGGGGAUGAAGCUUUUCGGAGUGUAAACCCCUUUCGACCCGGACGAAUGCCCCGCAAGGGGACUGACGGUACGGGUAUAAGAAGCCCCGGCUAACUACGUGCCAGCAGCCGCGGUAAGACGUGGGGGGCCAGCGUUGUUCGGAAUUACUGGGUGUAAAGGGUCAGUAGGCGGUGUGGCAAGUCGGGAGUGAAAUCUCUGGGCUUAACUCAGAGACUGCUUCCGAAACUGCUGUGCUUGAGUGUGGGAGAGGCGCGUGGAAUUGCAGGUGUAGCGGUGAAAUGCGUAGAUAUCUGCAGGAACACCCGUGGCGAAAGCGGCGCGCUGGACCACAACUGACGCUGAAUGGCGAAAGCUAGGGGAGCAAACAGGAUUAGAUACCCUGGUAGUCCUAGCCCUAAACCAUCACGACUUGGGGUUUGUCCUGUACGGGGCAAGUCCCGGAGCUAACGCGUUAAGUCGUGCGCCUGGGGAGUACGGUCGCAAGACUGAAACUCAAAGAAAUUGACGGA